rnacentral:tRNA from 1 species
GGGGUGGUAAGUUAGUUUAAACUUUUAGAUUUCGGUUCUUAGAAUCUCUUUUAGAGUUACCCUU